ACGUGAGCUGUCAAUCUAUUUUUAUUCACACCUCACUUUUCAAACUUUUGUUUCUUCUUUUUUUGCUUCCGAAGGUCUUUUUGAGAAAAUAAAAAUGAAACAAAUGGAAAAUUUGUUGAAGACAAAAAAUAACGAUUCAAUAUUGGUAUCAAUUUCAAGUUGACAUAUAUAUUAACGCUAUGAUGUUGACGCUUUUAUUUCAGUAUUUUUAGACGAAAAUGACAUAAAUUUUUCGGAGCUCCGUGUGGAUUUGUGCUUCUUAAAUCCAUGGGGAUUAUAACCAGUGACGAAGUCUUUCUGGAACAAUUUUUGGAAGACACAGAUUUAAUUGUUCGAUGAACAAACUCGUCGAAAUUGAAACAAUUUCAACUUCACAUUUCAAUAUUGCAGCUACUUAUCGCCUCCGUACACAAAAAAAAACAGAUACUUGUUCAAUAGCUCAUAAGUGUGUUUAUCAGGAGUUGACUUAAUCAAUUGAUCAAUUUCACUAUUUCAACGUCAAACAAUGAAAUCAAAAUACAUUUUAUUUCUCCACCUGAACCAUAGGCCAUCAGUACUCAACGAGAUAUUCUCAUUGAGAAUACAUCUCGCUUAAUUCCACUCCAAGAAUGCAAACACCGAAACGACUUUUCGCAGCAAGAAACAAACGCAUCUGUGACGGUAUCACAAACCGCCAUCAUUGAUAACACGAUAAUGAUGGAAUCAUCGCAGAUAACACACACAGAAAAAAAUCUUCGGAAAUUUUGGGUGUUCGCCGUAAAAUUUGACAUUUAUAUAUAAAUUUCUAUAUACAUUUUACCGGCAACACUUCAAUUUUCCGGGCGAUGACAUAUUUUCGAACAUUUUAUCAAAUACCAUAUAUAUUUUAUCGCUUGAAAUGACAGAUGGCGCUAAUUUCUGUUGGAAUAUUUGAAAUUAUGUCAUCGCCCGGAAAAUUCAAGUGUUGCCGGUAAAAUGUAUAUAGAAAUUUAUGUAUAAAUGUCAAAUUUUACGGCGAACACCCAAAAUUUCCGGGGAUUCUUUUCUGGUGCAAGUAUAUCGAUAUCAAAAGAUAAUGCAUUUUAGUACGCUGCUUCAGAGUCUGACACUGCAGACGCUGCAGUUUUCCAUUGCGUUCUUCGAAAUUUGAUAUCAACGAGAGCGAAAUUUCAUUAACCAAAUUACCGAGAUGUAUAAACCGAGUGCACCGCCAUGCUAUGAAGACUUGAGUGAAAUACCAAACGAUGCACAGUUCAAUCAGCCAAUUGAUGUUCCAAUUUAAACUCAACCACAACUCCAAACAUCAAUCCAGCCUCCAAACUUGAAUCAAUUUGAAAUUCCAAGCGUUUCACGUCAAAUUGCAAUUAUCCAUGACGCCUACUCAGGACUGUGUACAGGUUGCCAAUUGCCAUUAUGAACACGCGUAGGAUAUCGCACCACUUGUAAAACGCACUUGACAUUUUUACUGUGCUGCAUCUUUUGUUGCUACGUUUGUUCACCCUUUGUUUAUUGUGUGGAUUCGUGUCGUGAGCCGCAAGUCUACUGUAAUGCAUGCGGUCGAAUGAUUUUAGUGUGAUGGUUUUUGUUUUAAACAAACACUGGAGAUGAAAACCUUUUCACCACGUUUAUUUUUCAUAUUGUGAAUAUGGAUACAUCAAUAAAUAUGUCACAGCUUAUGUGUUUUCCCCCACCCAAA